AUUGAACGCUGGCGGAAUGCUUUACACAUGCAAGUCGAACGGCAGCACGGACUUCGGUCUGGUGGCGAGUGGCGAACGGGUGAGUAAUGUAUCGGAACGUGCCCAGUAGUGGGGGAUAACGUAGUGAAAAUUACGCUAAUACCGCAUACGCUCUAUGGAUGAAAGCGGGGGAUCGCAAGACCUCGCGCGAGUGGAGGGGCCGAUAUCAGAUUAGGUAGUUGGUGGGGUAAAGGCCCACCAAGCCAACGAUCUGUAGCUGGUCUGAGAGGACGACCAGCCAAGCUGGAACGGAGACACGGUCCAGACUCCUACGGGAGGCAGCAGUGGGGAAUUUGGGACAAUGGGCGAAAGCCUGAUCAAGCCAUUCCGCGUUCAGGAUGAAGGCCCUCGGGUUGUAAACUGCUUUUGUACAGAACGAAAAGGUUUCUACUAAUACUAGGGGCUCAUGACGGUACUGUAAGAAUAAGCACCGGCUAACUACGUGCCAGCCGCCGCCGUAA
rnacentral:rRNA from 1 species